rnacentral:rRNA from 1 species
CACGAACGCUGGCGGCAUGCCUAACACAUGCAAGUCGAACGAGAUCUUCGGAUCUAGUGGCGCACGGGUGCGUAACGCGUGGGAAUCUGCCCUUGGGUUCGAAAUAACUUCUGGAAACGGAAGCUAAUACCGGAUGAUGACGUAAGCCCAAAGAUUUAUCGCCCAGGGAUGAGCCCGCGUAGGAUUAGCUAGUUGGUGAGGUAAAGGCUCACCAAGGCGACGAUCCUUAGCUGGUCUGAGAGGAUGAUCAGCCACACUGGGACUGAGACACGGCCCAGACUCCUGCGGGAGGCAGCAGUGGGGAAUAUUGGACAAUGGGCGAAAGCCUGAUCCAGCAAUGCCGCGUGAGUGAUGAAGGCCUUAGGGUUGUAAAGCUCUUUUACCCGGGAUGAUAAUGACAGUACCGGGAGAAUAAGCUCCGGCUAACUCCGUGCCAGCCGCCGCAGUAAAAC